rnacentral:rRNA from 1 species
UACGGAGGAUGCAAACGUUAUCCGGAAUCAUUGGGUUUAAAGGGGCCGAAGGCGGGUUGUUAAGUCAGGGGUGAAAUCUUACAGCUCAACUGUAAAAUUGCCUUUGAUACUGGCAAUCUUGAAUCAUUAUGAAGUGGUUAGAAUGUGUAGUGUAGCGGUGAAAUGCUUAGAUAUUACACAGAAUACCGAUUGCGAAGGCAGAUCACUAACAAUGUAUUGACGCUCCGGGACGAAAGCGUGGGGAGCAAACAGG